rnacentral:rRNA from 1 species
UACGUAGGGUGCGAGCGUUAAUCAGAAUUACUGGGCGUAAAGUGUGCGCAGGCGGUUGAGCAAGUCGAGUGUGAAAGCCCCGGGCUUAACUUGGGAAUUGCGCUCGAAACUACUUGACUGGAGUGUGGCAGAGGAAGGUGGAAUUCCACGUGUAGCGGUGAAAUGCGUAGAGAUGUGGAGGAACACCAAUGGCGAAGGCAGCCUUCUGGGCCAACACUGACGCUCAUGCACGAAAGCGUGGGGAGCAAACAGG